GGAAGCUUAUCCCACUAGGCAGAGGAAAGCGGCUAAGAACCGCUAAAGGAUGGGUUCGAGUCCCUUAGCUUCCACCA
rnacentral:tRNA from 1 species